UCUCUCUCGAUAUCCCUCUUCCGAUCUCAACCCUCUCUCUCAAUCUCCCUCUCACUCUCCCUCCCUCUCCUGAUCUCCCUCUCCCUGCAACAUCCACCGAGGAGCUACCCGCUUCAGGUUCACCAUGAGCAGCUUCCAUCGAAUCGAAAUCGAUAUUACCUUCGAACGCUAAUUGCCUCAAAGGGUUGGAGAAAUGGUUCCACAUCAACGGUAGCAAUCCCAAUGUGAUCGUGGGGGCCCUUGUAGGUGGGCCCAAUCGGCUAGAUGACUACGUCAAUCAACAGUGGAACUACGAACAGACGGAGCCGUCCAUUGCCUGCAAUGCUCCUCUUGUGGGCCUUUUUGCUAAGCUGAAGGGCAUUUUGGGAAGUUCAGAAAAAUUCCAUGCAUCAACAGUCUGCUCAGCAUGCACUGAUGUCAGCUGGAGCGAAAGAUGCAGGUGCUCAUGACAUCACUAUUCAGCAUAUGCUGGCCAGGUGAAAACAGAAGCCCAACAGCAACAACAAAAUUCAUCUAAUGAUUUGAACAUUGAACCUGCUACUAAUUUUGGAGUAAAUAAGAGUCUCAUGAAUGAGGUUGUGUCCUUUUCUUCCACAAUAAUUCAUUUUCCCAUUUUUUGUUCAAAUCAUCAAGAUAAUUAUCUUGAUGAUCAGAAAAAUGCAAUCUUCUUUCAUAAAUAAAAACUUUGUUUAAGUGUCUUACCUUAUCAGGAUUGAGCCAGCUGCUUCCAUGUAUUUUCUUAUUGGUAACUUUGCAUACGCUCCAGAUUUCAAAAUAAAGUGUGGAUGGUCUUGUUUUGAUAAGUACUAUUAAGCUAAAGCUAUGGAAGCAGAAGCUACUUGCUUUCUUGCAAGGUGCACCUAUUUUACAUUUUUUCCCAACUCUGAUGUGAUGUUUUCUAUGCAUCCUCAAACUGACAGUGGUGUUCCUUAUAAAGGAACCCUUGUAAAAUAGGGUUCAUAUUAUACGGAUUACAUUUUUU